UACAGAGGGUGCAAGCGUUGCUCGGAUUUACUGGGCGUAAAGCGUACGCAGACGGUGAGAAAGGUCGGAUGUGAAAGCCCCGGGCUCAACCCGGGAAGUGCAUCCGAAACUGGCAGGCUAGAGUACUAAAGAGGAUCGCGGAAUUCCCGGUGUAGAGGUGAAAAUUCGUAGAUAUCGGGAGGAACACCGGUGGCGAAGGCGGCGAUCUGGGGUAGAUACUGACGCUGAGGUGCGAAAGCGUGGGGGAGCAAAACAGG
rnacentral:rRNA from 1 species